rnacentral:rRNA from 1 species
AGAGUUUGAUCAUGGCUCAGAACGAACGCUGGCGGCGUGCUUAACGCAUGCAAGUCGAACGGGAUCCAGAGCUUGCUCUGGUGAGAGUGGCGCACGGGUGAGUAACGCGUGGAUAACCUGCCCUGGUAUCCGGAAUAACAUCUCGAAAGGGGUGCUAAUACCGGAUAAGCCUACGGAGCCCUCGGUCUUUGCAGGAAAAGGUGGCCUCUAUUUAUAAGCUACCGUAUCAGGAUGGGUCCGCGUACCAUUAGCUAGUUGGUGGGGUAAUGGCCUACCAAGGCGACGAUGGUUAGCUGGUCUGAGAGGAUGAUCAGCCACACUGGAACUGAGACACGGUCCAGACUCCUACGGGAGGCAGCAGUGGGGAAUUUUGCGCAAUGGGGGAAACCCUGACGCAGCAACGCCGCGUGAGUGAUGAAGGCUUUCGGGUCGUAAAGCUCUGUCAGAGGGGAAGAAAUGAGAUUGGCUAAUAUCCAAUUUUCUUGACGGUACCAUCAAAGGAAGCACCGGCUAACUCCGUGCCAGCCGCCGCGGUAAUUC